AUUGAACGCUGGCGGCAUGCCUUACACAUGCAAGUCGAACGGUAACAGGUUAAGCUGACGAGUGGCGAACGGGUGAGUAAUGUAUCGGAACGUGCCCAGUCGUGGGGGAUAACUACUCGAAAGAGUGGCUAAUACCGCAUACGACCUGAGGGUGAAAGCGGGGGACCGUAAGGCCUCGCGCGAUUGGAGCGGCCGAUAUCAGAUUAGCUAGUUGGUGGGGUAAAAGCCCACCAAGGCGACGAUCUGUAGCUGAUCUGAGAGGACGACCAGCCACACUGGGACUGCGACACGGCCCAGACUCCUACGGGAGGCAGCAGUGGGGAAUUUUGGACAAUGGACGCAAGUCUGAUCCAGCCAUGCCGCGUGCGGGAAGAAGGCCUUCGGGUUGUAAACCGCUUUUGUCAGGGAAGAAACGAGUUUCUCUAAUACAGAGACUUAAUGACGGUACCUGAAGAAUAAGCACCGGCUAACUACGUGCCAGCCGCCGCGGUAACAC
rnacentral:rRNA from 1 species